GGCGAACGGGUGAGUAACACGUGGGUAACCUGCCCAUAAGAGGGGGAUAACAUCCGGAAACGGGUGCUAAUACCGCAUAGUUUUCUUGAUCGCAUGAUUGAGAAAGGAAAGACGGCCUUUGUGCUGUCGCUUAUGGAUGGACCCGCGGCGUAUUAGUUAGUUGGUGAGGUAAUGGCUCACCAAGACGAUGAUACGUAGCCGACCUGAGAGGGUGAUCGACCACAUUGGGACUGAGACACGGCCCAAACUCCUACGGGAGGCAGCAGUAGGGAAUCUUCCGCAAUGGACGAAAGUCUGACGGAGCAACGCCGCGUGAGUGAAGAAGGUUUUCGGAUCGUAAAACUCUGUUGUCAGAGAAGAACAAGUCGGAGAGUAACUGCUCCGGCCUUGACGGUAUCUGACCAGAAAGCCACGGCUAACUACGUGCCAGCAGCCGCGGUAAUACGUAGGUGGCAAGCGUUGUCCGGAUUUAUUGGGCGUAAAGCGAGCGCAGGCGGUUCCUUAAGUCUGAUGUG
rnacentral:rRNA from 1 species